rnacentral:rRNA from 1 species
CUCGGCUCGACUGAAGAACUGCAACUAAAACUAUAUUUCUUGAGUGCAGGAGAGGAAAGUGGAAUUCCUAGUGUAGCGGUGAAAGGCGUAGAUAUUAGGAGGAACACCAGUGGCGAAGGCGACUUUCUGGACUGUAACUGACGUUGAGGCACGAAAGUGUGGGGAGCAAACAGG